rnacentral:rRNA from 1 species
GGAUGAACGCUGGCGGCGUGCCUAAUACAUGCAAGUCGAGCGAACGGACGAGAAGCUUGCUUUUCUGAUGUUAGCGGCGGACGGGUGAGUAACACGUGGAUAACCUACCUAUAAGACUGGGAUAACUUCGGGAAACCGGAGCUAAUACCGGAUAAUAUUUUGAACCGCAUGGUUCAAAAGUGAAAGACGGUCUUGCUGUCACUUAUAGAUGGAUCCGCGCUGCAUUAGCUAGUUGGUAAGGUAACGGCUUACCAAGGCAACGAUGCAUAGCCGACCUGAGAGGGGUAUGGCCCCACCUGGAAAGGAGACCCGGCCCAGCACCCCAGGGGGGGCAGGAGGGGGGAAUCUUCCGAAAUGGGCGAAAGCCUGACGGGGAAACGCCGGGUGAGGGAGGAAGGUCUGCGGAUUGUAAAACUCUUUUUUUGGGGAAAAAAAUAUGUGUAAGUAACGGGGCAAAUCUGGACGGUACCAAAUCAGAAAGCCACGGCUAACUACGU